rnacentral:lncRNA from 1 species
UGAUUAUACAGGGGCAGGGGCUCAAGUUUUUUCCAGUUGUUUAUACAAUAUGGAAAUUAAUGUGAAAUUAAAAAACAAAGUAUUAAUAGAAAGGUAAUGACUGUCCUGUGUAGGUGACAGUGAUAUCCAAUAGGCUAGGCACUCACGAGGCUGGCUGUGGCAAGUGUAAGUGAAAGCAACACGCACUGGCAGGAAGAACAGCAAACGCCGAUGAAGGAAAAGGGUCUUUGCAGUGAUGGGCGUUACCAGAGAGGGCGAUGGCCAGAGGACACAAAUGGGACGGGGAGGCAGCGCGUUGGGGGGGGACGCGACACAGCUCGGGCCCGCCAGUGCCCCAACGGGGUCCUAGUUUUUCUUUUUCCUCCCCUUUGAACUGGAAAAUGGCCCACUUCCCACUGGCGAAAACUCAUGAAAUUUGGCAGGACGACCGGGCCUGGUGAAAAAUUUGAUAUUCUGAAGUCGCCCAAACAAUAAAAUGCAAAAUGGCUCCAUAGCGCCCCCUAAGAUGAAAAUUCACACUAUUGACUGUCACGGCUGUACGCUUUGUCAUAUUGACACAAAAAUUGACACACACAUGUAUCUCAAUAAGAUCUACAAAAAAGUCAGUGCAGGCGUAUCUGUCAAAUUUACGGUUAAAGGGUUAUUUCGCAUUUUUUGGCGAUCCACACACAUCGGAAUUUCGCUAACUCCUCUAAAGACUUUCGUUCCUUCGGCACAACAUUUGCUCAGGUCAAUCUACACCCCAUGGCCAUUAAAAGUUAUUCAAAUCAUGACGCUGCACCCCAUGGUUUAGGUUCUAGGGGGCGCCAAAGAUAACCCUAAAAUCCACAUAUUUAAAAGUCUUAUAACUUUUUAUUUUUGUCCCCACUGGCCUCCAAGUUUUCUAGGAUGAUGCAAUGUCCAGCCAUCAACACAUUUGUGAAGGAAUUUUUACUCCCCAAAAGAGCGCCCCCCCAUGGCAGGAGAAAAAAGUCAAUUUUUUCUUGUCCACUAAGGUGAAAAUACACAUUGUUGAGUGCUACGCCUGUAUGUUUUGUCAUAUUGACACAAAAUUUGACAUACACGUGUAUUUCAAUAAGAUCUACGAAAAAGUCAAUGGGCACGUAUCUGUAAAAUGUACGGUUAAAGGGCAAUUUCGCAUUUUUUGGCGAUUUGCACACAUUGGAAUUUCGCUAACUCCUCUGAAGGCUUUCGUUCCAUUGGCACAACAUAAAAAAAAAAAAAACUUGUGUAGAUCCUCCUCUAUGUCAGUCCAUAUGUAAUUUUUCCAUAAUUCUUUGUUUUUUGCAGCAUUUUUGUUAGUGUAACUGCAGAUUGUGCUGACAGUGUCUAUGGCAAAAAAAAAAAAAAAACUGAAAAUGCCUCAACAUGAACCCCUGGUGGUCUCUGAGGGUGAAACCUGCUAACUGCUGCAGCUCUGUCAGCUUCAGUCUCCCAUGCAGAGCUCGGAGCGCAUGUGUGGCUCUGCACCCUUAGCAGCGUUGCCUACUCCUCAGUAAGGAAAGCCUGCUUCAUGUCAGAGUCUCUAAACUCCAGAAGAAGUCGAUAAAAUUCCCUUUCUUUCUAAAAAAAAAGUCGUUAGGGGGUCUGAAAAGUCAUUGAAUCUAACAACAAAGUCGCUAGGUUUGCAACUACGCGUCCCAGACUGCAUCCCUGCUGAGAGUCCCUCCCUCCCUUCUCAUAUUGCAGGAAGAACGUAAGCGCCCGCCCCUUGUCAAUCAGUCACCAUAUAAUUUUGGAUUGGUUGUUGUGGUGAAGUUUUCCACCAAUAGGAGAGAUGUUGUGGUCUGUUUUUUUUUUUUCUUUUGGCAAGCCUUUUCCGCCUGUAAGAGCUGUCGCUAAUGUCUGCAUGCUAUGUAUUCCUGUCUCAUACAGCGCGAUUGAGCGCCGAACGUGAUCAAAAUAAGCAUAAAAAAAGUAUCACGGACAUAAUUUAUCAUAACUCUGGUUUUAUUUGGCCUAUCAACACAAUUUAAAAACUGGUAUAUAGUUUGAGGUCCUCACUUUUGAGAUAAGUUGAAACGGAGGGUGAACGAGGCUCCGUCUUGCAGCUACAUCCGGUUAAAUAUGUCAUGUGACUUGAACGCUGGGGAGCGUCAAUCGACUGCAGAGCCAGCAGACAAAGUAGUUAUGGCCACUGAGAGGCACACAUUUGUCAUAUGCUAUAAUCCUAACAUAUUUAAUGCUUUUUCUAUUUAAACCUAAUGGAUCUAAGGUUUGACCUUCAAAAUUUAGGAAGAAUAUGUUUUUGCAGUAAUGACCCCCUUAAACAACCAGAGGUCCUUUCCUAAAGUUUAUGGAAAUUUUAGUGAAGGGGUGGUUUCUUUCCUUGAAAAAUGUAUAGAAAUAAUAAAGCUAAAUACCAUAAAAUGGUCUUGGCGUAUUAGCAGUGAUAUAAAAUAGUGGUUUGAAUAUGAAUGAACAACAAAAAAAAAACAUCAACAGAGCCUUUUUGAGUUGGGAUUAUUUCAUUAUCACACAAAAACAGACAUAGACAGACAUCUAAAGGGUAAGGGAAUGAUCAGCCCUCCUAACUCUCAGAUGAAUCUUCAAAAUUCACCUCAGAAAUAUGCUUAUUAUUCUUCUCAGAGUACUGCAAGAUAUACACACACACACACACACACACACACACACACACACACACACACACACACACACACACACACACACACACACACACACACACACACACACACACACACACUCAGAGUCUCAAGAAUACAGAGGCUCCUUUUGCCCCUGAAAAAAAUCAAAUUUCAAACACAACUUGACUGCUCAUUUCUCCAAAAGACAACCAUGAAGCUCCAUCCAAACCUGAAGCAGGCAGUUGGUGCAUGUGUACAGUAACCUGAGGGGAGUGAGGUGAGUGCUUCUGAGGAGAACAUGAGCAGUGAAGAUUCACCUUGGAGCUAGAACAGGGACGUGCACAUGAUUAUACAGGGGCAGGGGCUCAAGUUUUUUCCAGUCAUUUAUACAAUAUGGAAAUUAAUGUGAAAUUAAAAACAAAGUAUUAAUAGAAAGGUAAUGACUGUCCUGUUUGGUGACAGUGAUAUCCAAUAGGCUAGGCACUCACGAGGCUGGCUGUGGCAAGUGUAAGUGAAAGCAACACGCACUGGCAGGAAGAACAGCAAACACCGAUGAAGGAAAAGGGUCUUUGCAGUGAUGGGCGUUACCAGAGAGGGCGACGGCCAGAGGACGCGAAUGGAACGGGGAGGCGGUAUCGCUGGGGGCGGCGCGACAUGGCUCGGGCCCGCCAGUGCCCCAACGGGGCCCUAGUUUCUUUUUCCUCCCCUUUGAACUGGAAAAUGGCCCACUUCCCACUGGCGAAAACUCAUGAAAUUUGGCAGGACGACCGGGCCUGGUGAAAAAUUUGAUAUUCUGAAGUCGCCCAAACAAUACAAUGCAAAAUGGCUCCAUAGCGCCCCCUAAGGUGAAAAAUUCACCUGACGCCUGUACGCUUUGUCAAAAUGACACAAAAAUUGACACACACAUGUAUCUCAAUAAGAUCUACAAAAAAGUCAAUGCUGGCGUAUCUGUCAAAUUUACGGUUAAAGGGUUAUUUCGCAUUUUUUGCCGAUCCGCACACAUUGGAAUUUCGUUAACUCCUCCGAAGGCUUUCGUUCCACCGGCACCACAUUUGCUCAGGCCAAUCUACACCCCAUGGCCAUUAAAAGUUAUUCAAAUCAUGACGCUGCACCCCACGGUUUAGGUUCUAGGGGGCGCCAAAGAUAACCCUAAAAUCCACAUAUUUAAAAGUCUUAUAACUUUUUAUUUUUGCCCUCACUGGCCUCCAAGUUUUCUAGGAUGAUGCAAUGUCCAGCCAUCAACACAUUUGUGAAGGAAUUUUUACUCCCCAAAAGAGCGCCCCCCCAUGGCAGGAGAAAAAAGUCCAUUUUUUCUUGUCCCAUAAGGUGAAAAUUCACACUAUUGACUGUCACGCCUGUACGCUUUGUCAAAAUUACACAAAAAUUGACACACACAUGUAUCUCAAUAAGAUCUACAAAAAAGUCAGUGCGGCCGUAUCUGUCAAAUGUACGGUUAAAGGGUUAUUGCGCAUUUUUUGCCGAUCCGCACACAUUGGAAUUUCGCUAACUCCUCCGAAGGCUUUCGUUCCACCGGCACCACAUUUGCUCAGGCCAAUCUACACCCCAUGGCCAUUAAAAGUUAUUCAAAUCAUGACGCUGCACCCCACGGUUUAGGUUCUAGGGGGCGCCAAAGAUAACCCUAAAAUCCACAUAUUUCAAAGUCUUAUAACUUUUUAUUUUUGCCCUCACUGGCCUCCAAGUUUUCUAGGAUGAUGCAAUGUCCAGCCAUCAACACAUUUGUGAAGGAAUUUUUACUCCCCAAAAGAGCGCCCCCCCAUGGCAGGAGAAAAAAGUCCAUUUUUUCUUGUCCCAUAAGGUGAAAAUACACAUUGUUUAGUGUCACGCCUGUACGCUUUGGCAAAAUGACACAAAAAUUGACACACACAUGUAUCUCAAUAAGAUCUACGAAAAAGUCAAUGCGCGCGUAUCUGUCAAAUGUACGGUUAAAGGGUUAUUGCGCAUUUUUUGCCGAUCCGCACACAUUGGAAUGUGGUUAACUCCUCCUAAGGCUUUCGUUCCACUGGCACCACAUUUGCUCAGGCCAGUCUACACCCCAUGGCCAUUAAAAGUAAUUCAAAUCAUGACGCUGCACCCCACGGUUUAGGUUCUAGGGGGCGCCAAAGAUAACCCUAAAAUCCACAUAUUUAAAAGUCUUAUAACUUUUUAUUUUUGUCCUCUCUGGCCUCCAAGUUUUCUAGGAUGAUGCAAUGUCCAGCCAUCAACACAUUUGUGAAGGAAUUUUUACUCCCCAAAAGAGCGCCCCCCCAUGGCAGGAGAAAAAAGACAAUUUUUUCUUGUCCCAUAAGGUGAAAAUACACAUUGUUGACUGUCAUACCUGUAUGCUUUGUCAUAUUGACACAAAAUUUGACACACACAUGUAUCUCAAUAAGAUCUAUGAAAAAGUCAAUGCGCGCGUAUCUGUAAAAUGUACGGUUAAAGGGCUAUUUUGCAUUUUUUGCCGAUUAGCACACAUUGGAAUGUGGCUAACUCCUCCUAAGGCUUUCGUCCCAC